UGGGGAAUAUUGGACAAUGGGCGAAAGCCUGAUCCAGCCAUGCCGCGUGUGUGAAGAAGGUCUUCGGAUUGUAAAGCACUUUAAGUUGGGAGGAAGGGCAGUAAGCGAAUACCUUGCUGUUUUGACGUUACCGACAGAAUAAGCACCGGCUAACUCUGUGCCAGCAGCCGCGGUAAUACAGAGGGUGCAAGCGUUAAUCGGAAUUACUGGGCGUAAAGCGCGCGUAGGUGGUUCGUUAAGUUGAAUGUGAAAGCCCCGGGCUCAACCUGGGAACUGCAUCCAAAACUGGCGAGCUAGAGUAGGGCAGAGGGUGGUGGAAUUUCCUGGGUAGCGGUGAAAUGCGUAGAUAUAGGAAGGAACACCAGUGGCGAAGGCGACCACCUGGGCUCAGACUGACACUGAGGUGCGAAAGCGUGGGGAGCAAACAGG
rnacentral:rRNA from 1 species